rnacentral:lncRNA from 1 species
UUUUUGAUAGCAGGAGAAGACUUUCAGGAGUUUUACUCAGAUUGCAAUUCCUGGGACUGGUACUGGCAUCUGUUUCUUCAUAGACACAGAUAACAAAGUAAUUGAUUAUAUUGAUAUGAUAUGGAGAAUACUCAAGACAGGUAGAAUUUGGAUAAUUCUUCGUCCUCUCCUAUGUCAUUUUGAAAAUCUGACAAAGGAAAUUUCUAUAGAAUUGAGGUAUGAAGAUAUUAAAAAUGUUAUUUUGCAGUAUGGAUUCCAGCUAGAGCUGGAAAAAGAAUCUCAAUUGUCAACAUAUAUUAUGAAUCAUCUCUCUAUGAUAUACUACUAUGGGUGUGUUUUGUUUGUGGUUCAGAAGCCACAAUAA